UCCGAGUCAGCACUGUCAUUGCAAAUGGUACACGUAUUUCACAGCUGCCAGUGGAAUUCGAGCGGUGUGACAGUAUGUUCCUAUAUUACUCAAGUUACCAGCACGGACAUUUAAUGAGGUAAUGUACAUAUCUAGUAACAAAGAAUCACACCGAGGACUACCAUGGAACGUCGAGGAUAAAUAUCAGUUAGGCGACAGUGUUACACAGAGUAUGACGUCAAGCGUGCUACAAGCUAGCUUGACUACCUGAAUGCAUUUCUUACCGUUGUGUGGCAAGUGAUUUGUACGGAACAUGUACCUACACUCUCAACAGCAAAUGAAUACCUACUUGGAUUAAAGUUUACUGUGUCAAGCGUCCUACUUAUAUCAAACAUGGAACUGUGAAUUACGAAUAGUGAGUGCACUUAUCAAGUCAAGCUGAACUGUCAACGGUAUGACAGAAGUCUGUGAUCGUGUGGAUAUAUGUCACCUAUCUUUGCUACCUUCUUCAGCCAGUUUGUGCAGGUACAACAUACACCAGUAAGGCAUGCAAUGGAACCUAUGGACUCGUCUGUACUCGACAUGACAUCAGCUGCAACUCCAUACAGAAGAUCGCCAUCUAUGACGCCUACUACACUAACAACACCGAGUGUCCACAGACAGGCCUCUCUAACUGCCUCAAUUUCAGAGCGGACGGUGUAACAGAACAUGGAUAUCACC